CCAAUAGCGUAUAUUAAAGUUGUUGUGGUUAAAAAGCUCGUAGUUGAACCUUGGGCCUGGCUGGCCGGUCCGCCUCACCGCGUGUACUGGUCCGGCCGGGCCUUUCCCUCUGUGGAACCUCAUGCCCUUCACUGGGUGUGACGGGGAAGCAGGACUUUUACUGUGAAAAAAUUAGAGUGCUCCAAGCAGGCCUAUGCUCGAAUACAUUAGCAUGGAAUAAUAAAAUAGGACGUGCGGUUCUAUUUUGUUGGUUUCUAGGACCGCCGUAAUGAUUAAUAGGGACAGUCGGGGGCAUCAGUAUUCAAUUGUCAGAGGUGAAAUUCUUGUAUUUAUUGAAGACUAACUACUGCGAAAGCAUUUGCCAAGGAUGUUUUCAUUAAUCAAGAACGAAAGUUAGGGGAUCGAAGACGAUCAGAUACCGUCGUAGUCUUAACCAUAAACUAUGCCGACUAGGGAUCGGAUGAUGUUAAUUUUUUAAUGACUCAUUCGGCGCCUUACG
rnacentral:misc_RNA from 1 species